UACGUAGGGAGCAAGCGUUGUCCGGAAUCAUUGGGCGUAAAGCGCGCGUAGGCGGCCCGAUAAGUCCGUUGUGAAAGUCAAAGGCUCAACCUUUGAAUGCCGAUGGAUACUGUCGGGCUAGAGUCCGGAAGAGGCGAGUGGAAUUCCUGGUGUAGCGGUGGAAUGCGCAGAUAUCAGGAGGAACACCAAUAGCGAAGGCAGCUCGCUGGGACGGUAUUGACGCUAAGGCGCGAAAGCGUGGGGAGCAAACAGG
rnacentral:rRNA from 1 species